rnacentral:snRNA from 1 species
GGACAUUAGGGCAGUCUGGUUUCCACAUCUAUCACCCCAUUUAUUGCCAAGAUUGACUCAGCAGACUUGGGUGGCUAAGCAAGUGUCCCCUUCCUCCUUCACCACACCAUUUACACCCCUCCUGAAGCUGCAUAGUUGGUUGAAGUGGAUGACUUCUCCAUAGAGUACCAUUCUGAGGUCAAGGAGGUAUGAGUAUCUGUGCUCCAGUGCUAGAACCUCCAAACAAGCUCUUAAGUUCUUGGAUUUUUGAGAUUAAAGUUUCUGACCCAUUUUCUUUUUGCUUUAAGA